ensembl:lncRNA
GUACUUCUUGCUGUGCGUGGUGAUGUGGCACUGCAGCUCCACCUCGGUGCCGAAGGACUCGCCGCAGAAGAUGCACUUGUGCACCUUGCCCUGGUUCUCCAGGUGGUUGUGCUUGACGUGCAGCUGCAGGUCCGUCUCGUUGCGGAAGUCCCAGUUGCAGGAGGUGCAGCGAUACACUUUCUUCUCGUUACUGUGCUUCACGGCCAGGUGGAGUUGGAUGGAGACCUUGGAGUCGAACACCUCCUGGCAGAGGGUGCAGCGGAAGAAGACGAAGGUGUGCAUGUCCAGCAGGUGUUUCUGCAGGUCGUCCACCGACGUGAACUGCUUGUCACAGCUCUCGCAGAUGUAGUACGUGGAGGUGAUCAUGAAGUGAAUGGUCACAUGCUUCAGCAGGGACUCUUGGUUGGGGAACUCCUUGUUGCACUGAGGGCAGGUCAGUUUCGGGAGCACAGUGUCCAGGUGGGUCUUCAGGUGAGUCUGAAAGCCGUCCAGGGACGUGUACUUAGCACCACACUGAUUACAGAUAUAUUCUCCAGCCUGCCUUGCAGGCGCCCCUCCUACCGCCUGCAUCAUCUUCAGAGAUGUCUGCUCUAUGGCCACAGGUGACAGGGGACUCAAGGCCCUGGAUUUCUUCCCGUUGUGGAUAUAAUUCAGGGCCAAGGGAAUGUUUUUAUGAUUCUCUUUGAUGUGCUUGUUCAGUUUAAGAACGCUGUUGAAUAUGGGGNNNNNNNNNNNNNNNNNNNNNNNNNNNNNNNNNNNNNNNNNNNNNNNNNNNNNNNNNNNNNNNNNNNNNNNNNNNNNNNNNNNNNNNNNNNNNNNNNNNGGGCCCUGGCCGGGUUGCCCAGGUGGCUGUGCUUGACGUGCACCUGCAGGUCGGCCUCCUUGCGGAAGUCCCAGUUGCAGGCCGUGCAGCGGAACAUCUUCUUCUCAUUGCUGUGCUUCACCGCCAGAUGCACCUGGAUGGACACCUUGGAGUCGAAGACCUCCUGACACAGCGUGCAGUGGUAGAGCACGAAGGUGUGCAUGUCCAGCAGGUGCUUCUGCAGGUCGUCCACCGAGGAGAACUGCUUGUCGCAGCUCUCGCACACGUAGUGGGUGGACGUGGUCAUGUAGUGCACGGUCAGGUGCUGCAGCAGGGACUCCUGCGAGUCGAAGUCCUCCUUGCACUGGGGGCACGCCUGCUUCCGCAGCAGCAGCUCCAGGUGCAGCUUCAGGUGGGUCUGGAAGCUCUCAAAGUUGGAGAACUUGAGGUCGCACUGGUUGCACGGGUACUCGCCGUUGGAGAUGGAGUUGGCGCUCGCCGAGAGCCGCUGCCGCUUCGGGGAAGACACCUCCACGUCCGACGAGACCGGGCUCUGUUCCGCCUUGGACUUCUUACUGUGGGCCAGCGGGAUGUUCUUGUGGUUCUCCUUGAUGUGCUUGGUGAGCUUCAGGAUGGAGCCGAAGAUGGGCGAGUUGGUGCAGUAGGGGCAGGAGUAGACCUCCAUGAAGGACUGCGUGGGCUGCACGACCGGGGACUCCAGUUUGGCACUGCCCACGCUGCAGUGGGCCUGCUGGAUGUGCUCCGUGAGGGAGGACUCGGUCAGGAAGCCCAUGGAGCAUUGGUUGCAAAAGAAGGCGUUGUUGCCGUCGGGCGGGUUGGCGUUGGGGCCGCAGUGGGAGACCCGGAUGUGCUCCUGCAAGCUGUUGAUGUCAGCAAACAUCUCGGGGCAGUAGUUGCAGUGGAAGGCGGAGAUGCUGCCGAACUGCAUUACGGGGUACGCAUGGUUCUUGUGCAGCUUGCGGACGUGCUCGUUGAGGUUGUAGAGGGUGGGCAUGGAGUCCAGGUGGCAGUAGACGCCCUCCACGGAGGAGAACUGCUCGGGGCACAUGGGGCACUUGUGUUUCUGGUUGGCGUGGGCUUGGUGGAUGUGGGCGAGCAGCGUGUUCUCGUCGACAAAGACCUCGGGGCAGUGGAUGCACUGCAGGUCGGCCUUCUCGGAGAGCUGGGGGUGGCGGGUGAGCACGUGCUUCUCCAGCUCCUCGGUCUGGCUGAAGGUGUCCUCGCAGUAGUCGCACAUGAAGUCGUCCUUCUUGGCCUCCUUCUCCGACUUGGCCAGGUGCUCCUUGUUCUUCUUGUGGGCCUGCAUGUGGCUCUGCAGCGAGCUGGUGGAGGACUUGUCGCAGAACUGGCAAGGGUACGGCAGGCCCGUGCCCCCUUCCUCCUCACCCAGGCCCAGGUCACACCCAUCUCCGAUCAUCUGCGUGGGUGA